rnacentral:rRNA from 1 species
UUUUGUUGGAGAGUUUGAUCCUGGCUCAGGACGAACGCUGGCGGCGUGCUUAACACAUGCAAGUCGAGCGGUAAGGCCUUUCGGGGUACACGAGCGGCGAACGGGUGAGUAACACGUGGGCGACCUGCCCUCCACUCUGGGAUAAGCCCGGGAAACUGGGUCUAAUACCGGAUAUGACCUUCCCUCGCAUGGGGGUUGGUGGAAAGUUUUUCGGUGGGGGAUGGGCCCGCGGCCUAUCAGCUUGUUGGUGGGGUGAUGGCCCACCAAGGCGACGACGGGUAGCCGGCCUGAGAGGGCGACC